GGAUUAGAAACCCGGGUAGUCCAUGCCGUAAACGUUGGGAACUAGAUGUGGGGUCCAUUCCACGGAUUCCGUGUCGCAGCUAACGCAUUAAGUUCCCCGCCUGGGGAGUACGGCCGCAAGGCUAAAACUCAAAGGAAUUGACGGGGGCCCGCACAAGCGGCGGAGCAUGCGGAUUAAUUCGAUGCAACGCGAAGAACCUUACCAAGGCUUGACAUACACCGGAAAAGGCUGGAAACAGUCUCCCCGCAAGGCCGGUGAACAGGUGGUGCAUGGUUGUCGUCAGCUCGUGUCGUGAGAUGUUGGGUUAAGUCCCGCAACGAGCGCAACCCUCGUUCUAUGUUGCCAGCACGUCAUGGUGGGAACUCAUAGGAGACUGCCGGGGUCAACUCGGAGG
rnacentral:rRNA from 1 species